ACAAACCCUCCCCAAACACCAAUUCCGAAGCCAUGGCGGGCGCCAUAAGCCUCGUUGCGGGUGCCAUGGGGCCUGAACAUUUAACGGGACAGAAUCCCUAAAUUCCCCAUUUUUACCUUUUUCAACCUCCUAAAAGCCAUUUUUUCCUCCUUCCAACUCCAUUGAAGUCCACGAAAAAUCCCAACUUUAUCAUUCUAACUCCAACCCAUUAUCA
rnacentral:lncRNA from 1 species